AACGCUCGCUGUGUGCCUAAUACAUGCAUGUUGAACGGGAUGUAGCAAUACAUUCAGUAGCGAAUGGGUGAGUAACACGUACCUAACCUACCUUUAAGACUGGGAUAACUAUUGGAAACAAUAGCUAAUACCGGAUAUAGUUAUUUAUCGCAUGAUGAGUAAUAGAAAGGAGCUUCACAGCUUCACUUAAAAAUGGGGGUGCGGAACAUUAGUUAGUUGGUAGGGUAAUGGCCUACCAAGACGAUGAUGUUUAGCUGGGCCGAGAGGCUGUACGGCCACACUGGGACUGAGAUACGGCCCAGACUCCUACGGGAGGCAGCAGUAAGGAAUUUUCCACAAUGAGCGAAAGCUUGAUGGAGCGACACAGCGUGCAGGAUGAAGUUCUUCGGAAUGUAAACUGCUGUUAUAAGGGAAGAAAAAAUAGAAUAGGAAAUGAUUUUAUCUUGACGGUACCUUAUUAGAAAGCGACGGCAAACUAUGUGCCAGCAGCCGCGGUAAUACAUAGGUCGCAAGCGUUAUCCGGAAUUAUUGGGCGUAAAGCGUCCGUAGGUUUUUUGCUAAGUCUGGAGUUAAAUGCUGAAGCUCAACUUCAGUCCGCUUUGGAUACUGGCAAAAUAGAAUUAUAAAGAGGUUAGCGGAAUUCCUAGUGAAGCGGUGGAAUGCGUAGAUAUUAGGAAGAACACCAAUAGGCGAAGGCAGCUAACUGGUUAUAUAUUGACACUAAGGGACGAAAGCGUGGGGAGCAAACAGGAUUAGAUACCCUGGUAGUCCACGCCGUAAACGAUGAUCAUUAGUUGGUGGAAUAAUUUCACUAACGCAGCUAACGCGUUAAAUGAUCCGCCUGAGUAGUAUGCUCGCAAGAGUGAAACUUAAAGGAAUUGACGGGAACCCGCACAAGCGGUGGAGCAUGUGGUUUAAUUUGAAGAUACGCGUAGAACCUUACCCACUCUUGACAUCUUCUGCAAAGCUAUAGAGAUAUAGUGGAGGUUAACAGAAUGACAGAUGGUGCAUGGUUGUCGUCAGCUCGUGUCGUGAGAUGUUAGGUUAAGUCCUGCAACGAGCGCAACCCUUUUCUUUAGUUACUAAUAUUAAGUUAAGGACUCUAGAGAUACUGCCUGGGUAACCAGGAGGAAGGUGGGGACGACGUCAAAUCAUCAUGCCUCUUACGAGUGGGGCAACACACGUGCUACAAUGGUCGGUACAAAGAGAAGCAAUAUGGUGACAUGGAGCAAAUCUCAAAAAACCGAUCUCAGUUCGGAUUGAAGUCUGCAACUCGACUUCAUGAAGUCGGAAUCGCUAGUAAUCGUAGAUCAGCUACGCUACGGUGAAUACGUUCUCGGGUUUUGUACACACCGCCCGUCGCACCAUGGGAGUUGGUAAUGCCCAAAGUCGGUGAGUUAACUUCGGAGACCAUUGCCUAAGGCAGGACUGAUGACUGGGGUGAAGUCGUAACAAGGUAUCCCUACGAGAACGUGGGGAUGGAACACCUCCUUUCU
rnacentral:rRNA from 1 species